rnacentral:rRNA from 1 species
UACAGAGGGUGCUAGCGUUGUUCGGAAUCAUUGGGCGUAAAGGGCGUGUAGGCGGUUUGUUAAGUCAUGUGUGAAAUCCCUCGGCUCAACCGGGGAAGGACGCAUGAAACUGGCAAGCUAGAGUACCAAAGAGGGGGGGUGGAAUUCCCGGUGUAGCGGUGAAAUGCGUAGAUAUCUGGAGGAACACCGGUGGCGAAGGCGGCAUCCUGGACCGAGAUUGACGCUGAGACACGAAAGCGUGGGUAGCAAACAGG